rnacentral:rRNA from 1 species
UACGUAGGCAGCAAGCGUUGUUCGGAGUUACUGGGCGUAAAGGGUGUGUAGGCGGUUUUCUAAGUCUGGUGUGAAAUCUCCCGGCUCAACUGGGAGGGUGCGCCGAAAACUGGAAGGCUAGAGUGCGGGAUGGGAGAGUGGAAUUCCUGGUGUAGCGGUGAAAUGCGUAGAUAUCAGGAGGAACACCUGUGGUGUAGACGGCUCUCUGGACCGCAACUGACGCUGAGCCACGAAAGCGUGGGUAGCAAACAGG